CUUUUUCAGAAGACCUAAAAUUAGUUGUUGUUGUUGUUGUUUUAAUUUCUUAGUCACUUGUUUCUUAAAGUAUACUUUAAAAUUAAACAGGAUCUGAGUGGUUAGUUAUUUGUCUCAGCACUAGGUUCCCAUGACCAAACUUGAAGGCUGGAAGUUUUUGAUGAUCACACUGGACUUGCUCCUUACACUGGCUGCGGUUCAGAGCUCUCAUUUGGCCUCUGCUGGGAUCUACCUGUUGCCUUUGAAAGGAGGGGGAGCAUUUCAUCUGUAGCAUCUCCCAUGAGCAUUCCCAGCCUACCUAGUCACUAAGCAUCCUCAAAGAUUCUGGAAAUUUCCUUCACCAGCAUUUUCUGGGCUACCUUGGGAGCAUAAAAAGAAGACAAAUGAACGCCUGAUAAUAUUCCUACCUUCCAAAGUCUUUAAUUCCUUCCUCCACAUUGUAUAUCCUCUUCAUUUACAUGGUCAUCUCUUCAGACUAGGUUUCAGGCAACCAACCAAGAAAAUACUGAGGAACACUUCCAACUAUUCCAUUCAGCAUAUUAAACCCAAAUUUUUAGAAAAUACAUCCAUGUACACAAAUCCGGUCUGAAUCUAAAAUUUUGUUGUUUUCCUCCUUAGAAAAUCAUUCCCAUGUGUGUUCUCCCACAUUAAAGUAGAUUAUCAAAUCUGGAUGAGUGAGUGUGUGUGUGUGUGUGUGUGUGUGUUUGUGUACAUCUUGUCCACACUGUGUGCUAACCUUUACCUCUUGGGUUAUACUUGAUAAUUGACCCCUCUGGGCUUGCUGGUCCCUAAUCCUAAUUACUUUUUUGGAGAUAAUGAGGAGUGAAGGGAGAGAGCAGGAGGAUAAUUGGCUUCCUUUGCAAGGUAACAGGACUAGUUCCCUUAGGUGCAUCUUCAUGUGAAGCAAUAAUGGCCUCAUUAGAUAUAGGAGGAGGUUCUGUUUUGGUUAGCAACAGAGGCCUAGUGACAUUUGGGGGUACAGAGUUCCCUGAGUUCUUCAGAUAUUUGCAUAUAUUCCCAUCUCAGCUCUUGACACACCACACUUUCUCCAUCAAGGCCCUAACUUUCACACAACAGACGGGGUGAGGCUGUGAAUUCGGUUGACUUUGUC
rnacentral:lncRNA from 1 species